rnacentral:lncRNA from 1 species
GCCUUCUCUUCUCCAGGCUGAACAGCCCCAGCUCUUUCAGCCUGUACUCAUGGGGAAGGUGUUCCAUCUCUUGGAUGAUUUUUGUGGCCCUCCUUUGGAUGCACUCCACAGGUCCAUGUCUCUCCUGUACUGAGGACACCACAUCUGAACACAGUACUCCAGCAUCUUCCUGCCUGCACGGUACCCGACAACUUUGGGUGAAUUGCUGGUGUCUGA